UCCUACGGGAGGCAGCAGUGGGGAAUUUUCCGCAAUGGGCGAAAGCCUGACGGAGCAAUACCGCGUGAGGGAAGACUGCCUAUGGGUUGUAAACCUCUUUUUUCAGGGAGGAAUAAAAUGACGUGUACCUGAAGAAUAAGCAUCGGCUAACUCCGUGCCAGCAGCCGCGGUAAGACGGAGGAUGCAAGUGUUAUCCGGAAUCACUGGGCGUAAAGCGUCUGUAGGUGGUUUAAUAAGUCAACUGUUAAAUCUUGAGGCUCAACUUCAAAAUCGCAGUCGAAACUAUUAGACUAGAGUAUAGUAGAGGUAAAGGGAAUUUCCAGUGGAGCGGUGAAAUGCGUAGAUAUUGGAAAGAACACCGAUGGCGAAAACACUUUACUGGGCUAUUACUAACACUCAGAGACGAAAGCUAGGGUAGCAAAUGGGAUUAGAUACCCCAGUAGUCCUAGCCGUAAACAAUGGAUACUAGAUGUUGAACAGAUCGACCUGUGCAGUAUCAAAGCUAACGCGUUAAGUAUCCCGCCUGGGAAGUAUGCUCGCAAGAGUGAAACUCAAAGGAAUUGACGGA
rnacentral:rRNA from 1 species